GCCCCACUCUGCUCCGAAGUUCUGAGUCAUCACCAGUUUCACAAGCAAUCGCGGGGGUAGGCACUCCAGGGCCGGUGCAAGAAGCUUUCUGUUAAGAAUAAAUGUGCCCUAAAUUACUCUUAAAUAGCCAACACCAUUUUGAGUUGUUGGAGGUCUCAGUUUCCCAGUGCACUUGGAUCUAAAUAUCACCGGUCCCUUAUGGGGUGCUCCGUUCCUCCCACAGGGAACAUCCAGAAUGAUGUUUGGCCAAAUAUCCAGGCAGCAAGGCCCAGCCACAUCCGUACGUGAGAUGAAGCACCACAAGGAGCUUCUCAGUGUUCCACAGACAAGAGGCAGGCAGAGGACAUCGAGGUGGGUGGCAGGACUGUAGAGUUAUGCGCCAUUUCAGCAUUCGGCCGACAGGAGUUAAGUAUCUGGGACAGGUAUCAUCACCUCUGGUUACAUCUGGUCCGGCAAGUGGAGACAAGACACCACUUUCUCCUCCACGCCUUCGCUCGGGGUGCUCCUGUGUCUGGGAGUUGCACCAGGCCCUUCCUGGAUAUAGGCUCCUUCACGCCCCCGGGAAGCAGGAAGUCCUCCCAACUGGACGGCCUUUCUUCUCCAGUGAGACCCGGCUGACGACGCUGAAGCCAAGAUCCCAAAGAUGGUCCCCACUUGACCUGACAGUCCUGGGCCACGAAGAGACAGAAGCUCAGGUCUGUCGUGCACUUUGGGAAGUUACCUAAAUCACUAGCGAACUAGGCCAGAGGUGAUCCUCCAUC
ensembl:lncRNA